GAUGAACGCUGGCGGCGUGCCUAAUACAUGCAAGUCGAGCGAACAGACGAGGAGCUUGCGCCUUUGACGUUAGCGGCGGACGGGUGAGUAACACGUAGGUAACCUACCUAUAAGACUGGGAUAACUUCGGGAAACCGGAGCUAAUACCGGAUAAUAUGUCGAACCGCAUGGUUCGAUAGUGAAAGAUGGCUUUGCUAUCACUUAUAGAUGGACCUGCGCCGUAUUAGCUAGUUGGUAAGGUAACGGCUUACCAAGGCAACGAUCCGUAGCCGACCUGAGAGGGUGAUCGGCCACACUGGAACUGAGACACGGUCCAGACUCCUACGGGAGGCAGCAGUAGGGAAUCUUCCGCAAUGGGCGAAAGCCUGACGGAGCAACGCCGCGUGAGUGAUGAAGGUCUUCGGAUCGUAAAACUCUGUUAUUAGGGAAGAACAACAGUGUAAGUAACUGUGCACGUCUUGACGGUACCUAAUCAGAAAGCCACGGCUAACUACGUG
rnacentral:rRNA from 1 species